CAGUGGCACAAUCUUGGCUCACUGCAACCUCUGCCUCCCAAGCUCAAGCAAUUUCUGGCAAAUUUUUGUAUUUUUAGUAGGGACGGGGUUUCGCCAUGUUGUCCAGGCCGGUCUUGAACGCCUGAUAUCAAGCGAUUUGCCCUCAAGUGACCCACCCACCUUGGCCUCCCAAAGUGCUGGAAUUACAGGCAUGAGUCACGGCACACGGCCGACAAACUAUAUUUUGAGAAGGAUUUUAUUUUUCGGUGCUGAGGUGCUUUGCUGGAGGAGCUGCCAGGAGGAGCUGCGCGGGGCAGGCCCGGGGGACCAGAGGCCCUUGCUUUAGCGGCGGCCCUGCGUGUGCCAGAGGCUUGCAGAGUGAUCUGAGCACGCCAAGAGAUUGCUGUCAAUGAAAGCACCAGAUUUCCGCGUAGGAGGAACUCGGGGGCAACGAUGCAAUUGGAAGGCACUGGAAGCAUUCAGGAAGCCCUGGGGCCAAAGCAAACAGCAUGCUUGAGGCAAGGUGCUGUGAGGCCCAAAUGAGCUGAAGCUUGCACAAAACUGCUCACCACUGCCAUAGCUGAAUCAGCGGAGGCCAGGAGGAUGCGAGGCGGUGCCCGCCCGCGAUUGUCUGAUCAUCUCCCUCUUGGACUGCUCAGACUCAGGCAUGCCCUGCAUCAAAUCCAACCUGUCACCAGGUCUUCAAGGGGGAGGCCUGCGGAAAUCCUACUGUGAAUGAAACUACAGUUGCUAUUCAUCGUCUCCCUCCUGCACCUACCACUCCAGAUGUCCCUCACUCUUGGCCAGCACUUUGGCUUGUUUAAGUUGUGUGCCAGGUUCAAGAUUCACCAAGAAGGCAGGGCGCAGUGGCUCACAUCUGUAAUCCCAGCACUUUGGGAGGCUGAAGCAGGCAGAUCACUUCAGCCCAGGAGUUUGAGACCAGCCUGGGCAACAGAGCAAGACCCCAUCUCUAAAGAAAAAUAAUUAUUCAGGUGUGGUGGCACAUGCCUGUAGUCCCAGCUACUCAGGAGGCGGAGGUGGGAGGAUCGCUUGAGCCCAGGAGGUUGAGGCUGCAGUGAGCCAUGAUUGCACCAUUGCACUCUAGCUGGGCAACAGAGCAAAACCCUGUCUCCAAAAAUAAUAAGUAAAUAAAUAAAUAAGAUACUAAGAGACAUCCCAGUGACUCUCCUGAGUCCCAAACAUACUCAUCCAUCCCUCAUGGAGAAACAACUCUAUCUCCUUGCAAUAGUCAGAACUAGUUUCUCCUGCCAGUUUAAUCAGUACUUUUUUUAUUGCAGUAAAAUACACACAACAUAAAAUGUGCGACUUUAACCAUUUAUUAUUAUUAUUAUUAUUAUUAUUAUUAUUAUUAUUAUUGAGACGGAGUUUCGCUCUUGUUGCCCACGCUGGAGUGCAGGGGCGCGAUCUUGGCUCACUGCAACUUCCACUUUCUGGGUUCAAGCGAUUCUCUUGCCUCAGCCUCCGGAGUAGCUGAGAUUACAGGCACACGCAGCCAUGCCCAGCUAAUUUUUGUAUUUUUAGUAGAGACGGAGUUUCACCAUAUUGGUCAGGCUGGUCUCAAACUCCUGACCUCAGGUGAUCCACCCACCCCUUGGCCUCCCAAAGUACUGGGAUUACAGGCGUGAACCAACAUGCCCAGCCCAUUUUAACCAUUUUUAAAUGUUCAUUCAGUGGCCUGAAUUACAUGAACAUUGCUGGACAACCAUUGCUACUAUGUAUUUCCAAAACUUUUAAAUUGCCUUAAACAGAAACCUUGUAACCAUUAAGCAACACCUCUCCAUCCCCUCUCCCCUCAGCCCCUAGUAACCACUAGCCUACUUUCUCUGCUACUUUGUCUCUUGUAGAUGUUUCAAACAAGUAGAAUGAUAUGAUACUUGUCCUUUUGAAACUGACUUAUUUUACAUAGUAUAGUGUUUUCAAGGUCCAUCCAUGUGGUAGCACGUAUUAAAGCUUCAUGCACUUUUAUGGCUGAAUAAUGUUCCAUUGUAUGUACAAGGCGUGCCACAUUUUGUUAUUCAUUCACCUGUUAAUGGCAACUUGGCUUGUUUCCACUUUUGGGCCCUUGUGGAUAAUGCUGCAGUGAACAACAGCAUGGAUGUCUCUGAGUCCUGCUUUCAGUUCUUCAGGGUAUAUGCCUAGCAGUGGAGUAGCUGAUUCUAUGUUAAUUCUAUGUUUAAUUUUUUGAGAAACUGCCAUAUUGUUCUCCAGGCUGGCUGCACCAUUCCACAUUCCCACUAACCGUGCACAAAGAUUCCAAUUUCUUACCAACACACUCUCAUCAAUACAUGUUAUUUUUAGUUUAUCGUGUUUUCAUUUUUCUUUUAUUAUAUAUAGCAGGCAUUCUAAUGGGUGUGGGGUGGUAUCUCAUUUUGGUUUUGAUCUGCAUUUUCCUAAUGUUUAGCGAUGUUGAGUAUACUUUCCUGUGGUCAUUUGUAUAUUUUCUUUGGAUGUGUAUCUGUUCAAAUCCUUUACUCAUUUUUAAUUGAGUUGUCUUUUUGUUAUUGAGUUGUAGGAGUUCCUUAUAUAUUCUUGAUUUUAAAACUUUAUCAGAUAUAUGAUUUGCAGAUAUUUUCUCCCAUUCCAUCGGUUGUUUUUUCAGUUUCUUGAUAAUGUCCUUUCAUGCACAAAAGUGUUUAGUUUUGAUGAAUUCCAAUUUGUCUCUUUUUCUUUCUUUGCUCAUGUUUUUGGUGUCGUAUCUGAGAAUCCAUUACCAAAUCCAAGGUCAUGAAGAUUUACCUGUAUGUUUUCUUGUAAGAGUUCUGAUGUUUGUCACUGAUCCAUGCUGAGUUAACAUUUAUACCGUAUAAUGUAGGGGCUACCUCUUCAUUCUUUUGCAUGUAGAAACUCCGUUAUCCUAAUUGUUGCUAAUUGCCUCUGGCCCACUGACUUGAGAAGCCCAAGAGGACCAGGGAGUAUUUGUAUUUUCAAGUUCUGUAGAAUUGGUGAUGUUCCCUGGUGGAGGAGUCCACUCUCCGCUCCUCCUCCCCCAUCAAGAACUAAGACGUCGAAUUUGCUAGAGCCCCACCCAAAGCUGUGGACACAGGAAGCACACAUUUCUCAAGGUGGUCUCUGCGAGUGAUGGUGACAGCAGCCGAUUUCACUUCCCCCGCCACCCCCUGGGUUUCCAGCCCCAUGUCUUUCUGCUGUUGGGAUCAUAGCACCAUGUGUCUGCUCUUGGUAAGGCACGUACACCACAGUUUCAAGGAUAGUAUCCCAAUUAUACAGGGUGUGGGCUCACGCUUUCACCCUGGCAUAGCCUUGGCACAGGUCAUCCUGAUGUUCUUGUAGGCCUGCUGCUUCCAGAGGAACCUUGGAGCCAUAGCUUCUUUGCUGUAAAACAGACCCCUUGGCUUGAGGCAGUGUUGUUCAAAUCCCUUGCCAAUAAAUCAGAGACAACCGUAAGUGCUCUGUUGGUGAUGCCAGUGAAGGCACUGUUGCAAGGAAGGAAAAUCCAUAUCCAGAGUCGGUGUUCACUCUGCUAGGACUCAUCACUGUCUCAUCAAUGACAGAAGGGGUCUCAUAUAAUGAACUUUGCACUGUGACUGCCUGAUCUCCUUGUGAAAUGGUGCCAUCUUGAGGGCUCAUUAUUAGUCCAUGUGGUUGGCAGGUAGGGCAUUCAGUAGUGGCAGCAGCCAGGUCAUCUCUAGCAAGAGGGAACUUGUGUUGGGCUCAUGCCUCCCUUGACUUUUGCCACCAUGGCCACACCAUUCAUGGAACUAUCUAUUUCCCCUGCCAUGGGGUGGCUGAUGCUGGCUGAUGCCCAGAGGAUGAACCAUCCUGUCCACCCAGUUGCUAGGUGCCUCCUCUGCAGGAGAGGCUUUUUGGCAGACCUUAACGUAAGUCCAAUGAUUGGCACGCUAGUGCCAUUUCCAUAGGUCAGUAGUACUGAUUUUUCCUUUUGUCUCAGACACCAAUAUGGCUCGGCACAG
rnacentral:lncRNA from 1 species